rnacentral:rRNA from 1 species
CCUACGGGAGGCAGCAGUGAGGAAUAUUGGUCAAUGGCCGGAAGGCUGAACCAGCCAUGCCGCGUGAAGGUCAGUGCCCUAUGGGCGUUAAACUUCUUUUGUGCGGGAGCAAUAAUGGUCACGUGUGGCCAGACGAGAGUACCGUACGAAUAAGCAUCGGCUAACUCCGUGCCAGCAGCCGCGGUAAUACGGGGGAUGCAAGCGUUAUCCGGAUUUAUUGGGUUUAAAGGGUGCGUAGGCUGUGAGGUAAGUCAGCGGUGAAAUGCCCCCGCUCAACGGGGUGAAGUGCCAUUGAUACUGCCUUGCUGGAAUGCGGAUGCCGUGGGAGGAAUGUGUGGUGUAGCGGUGACAUGCAUAGAUAUCACACAGAACACCGAUUGCGAAGGCAUCUCACGAAUCCGCGAUUGACGCUGAUGCACGAAAGCGUGGGUAUCAAACAGGAUUAGAUACCCGGGUAGUC